CUAGAAGCCUUCGGAAGGCUCAUCAUGCCAGAUCUACCCAUGGUUGGUCAACAGUUACUUUUUAACUUCCCUUGAAGCACAUAGAAAGAUAGGGGGAUACAGGGGACAGAAGAAGGGGAAGAAAUCUCCUCGCACUGGGAUCUGAUUGUAUUUUCUGCUGACUGAGAAUCAAGGAAUUCAACAAAACUGGUCCACUGAAAGAAGGAGUUCUAUGACAUCUGCCCAUAGCUUAUCAAGUCUCAUCAGGACUGCCUGGAUCCUCUUUCUCUGUGGCCUGGUCCAUGCUUCCUGUCAGACCUGUGCCAAGACCAACCCACAGGGGGCACUCCAGGUACGUCAGCCUGUGCACCAGCUCCAAGGAUGACAAGUCGGAGAGGACUGGAAGAUUGACUUCACCCACUCUCUCUUACCCCCUGCUGACACUUUCACAGAUUGGAUGGAGGCAUUUCCCACCUCCAUGGAGAUGGCAGAUGGGGUGGCUCAGGUGCUCGCUCCUCCGUUCAGCUUGCCACAGACCAUCCAAACAGACAACAGUCCAGCCUUUACCUCCUGGGUCAUUGAGCUCCUGUCUGAAGCUGUCAACACAUCCUGGAAACUCCACAUCCCCUACCACCCACAAUCCUCGGGAAAGGCUGAGAGCGAACAGACUCAUCAAACAGAGGCUCACCAAGUCUCUGAGCUCAGGUUUAUCUUGGCCUUCCCUUCUCCCCAUUGCCCUCACCCUACUCUGAGCUACCCUGCAUCUCCUACAGGUAUGUUUGAAGUCCCAUAUGAAGGCUGUUCCUUAUGGUCCCUUCUCUGCUCGCAUGCUGCCUGCUCCCAUGCCAAUUGCUCCUGAGUGCCCGGCUCUCCCCAGGGGACUGAGUAUUCCUCAAGCAGUUAUCUCCCAAGUUUCUAGAGUCUCUGUGGAAACAACUCUACCCUGUCAUCCUCACCACUCCUUCAGCCACCAAGCUCCUAGGACACCAGUGCUGGCACCAUGUCUCCAGGCUCAAGAGGGCACCUACCCAAGAUGAGUAGUCUGUCCAACAACUGGGACCUUCCUACUCUCAUUUCUCCAGAAUGGAUGGUCAAACCAGGGUGCCUCCCCCUGGACUGGUGGCAGUCUCCCCUGUCCUAAUGGCUCACUCCAGUAAUAAGACCCCUCAUUCUCACUUGCCCAUUUUUUUCUUUUUACCCCUUGCCUCCUCUGCCUUCUCUAGGACAUAUUCAUGAGGUCUCAUGGGUAACAGUCAGUCAAAUGCUUCUUCACCCAAACCUCAGACCCACCAACUCUCUACUCCCCAACCCAUUGCCAUCCCUUUUCAACAGGAAGUAUCCAGACGUGAAUCUGUGCCCAUACACCCAAGGAGCUCAGAAAGCUCCAAAAUCCCAGAUAAAGGCUCCAAAAAGCCAAGCCCUGCAUUCCUGACAGUUGUCCCAAGCCCUCUCACCUGAAGUCAUCAGCCCCUCCAAGCGCCACCUGAGAUAACCAUACCUGGGCACAAGCUGAGCCUGUGACAGACACAUCAUUUUCCUUUACCUACAAUCUGAAAAUCUUUCCUGUCAUGGUCUGCCCGUGACUUUCUCUGGUCUUGUCCCCUGAGGCUGAGCUUGACCAGGAGCCCAUUCCCAAAUACACCUGUCCUUUUCUUUUCUUUUGGCUUGAAUUGGCUUAAUUUUGUCAGCGGAGAUAGCCUAGCAGUGUACUACAUGUGUUCCUGGUGCCCAUAGAAGCAAAAAGAGUACAUUUGAUCUCCUGGAACUAUAAUUAUAGAAAGGUUGUGAGGCACUGUGGGUGCUGGGAACCAAACCUGGAUCCUUUGGAAAACUAGCCUGUGCUCUUACUACUGAGCUAUCUUUCCAGCCUCUCGUGAUCUACUCCUAAUUUAAAGAUUCUCAUAUCGUUUCUUUCCAUAUUUUGUACAGAGAUUUUGGCUGUAGCGAAUGUCAGAAAUCAGCUGCUUCCCAGCCUGCCCUCAGGGACUGAGCGCCAGAAGCUGCCUAAUCACUAGUUGCCAACCCACUGAAAGGUCCCCACCAUCCCAGGUCCUUCUCUUCUGUCUCCUGAUCUGUCGUCUGUCUGUCUGUCUCUCUCUCUCGCCUCUCUCAUAUUCCCAUACUGAGAGGCCUGCUCUAAUAAAUUUGCUCCCCUGCCCUAAUAAAUC